rnacentral:tRNA from 1 species
UCCCUGGUGGUCCAAUGGUUAGGGCUCUACCUUCCCAAUGCAGGGGGCUUGGGUUCGAUCCCUGAUCAGGGGA